GCCCUGGUGUUGCAGUGGUUAAAGUGCUCAGCUGCAAACUGAAAGGCUGGUGGCUCAAAACCACCCUGUGGCA
rnacentral:tRNA from 1 species